AUGCGCGCUCCUGCUCCCGCUCGCACAGGGACUUGGCCGCAUUGGUGGAGCGCGAGCGUGAACGGGACUCGCGCGGCCGGCUGCGCUUGCUCUCCCUGGACUUGGAGCACUUCCGCACGUGCUCCUUGUCCCGCGAGCGCGAGCGGGAGCGGCUGCGCUUCUUGUUGUGCUUGCUGCUCUUCGCAUGCAUGGAGCGCGAGGAGCUGCGGCUUCGCAAGUGGCCCCUCCUGGCGCGGUGAGCCGACCACCGCCGGCCUCCGGCCCCUCGCGCGCACCCCUUGCCGCUCCUCCGGACGCGAGCUGGCUGACCUGCGGAGGCCGGGGAGGGCGCGCUUCCUGUCGGUUGGCCGUCUGUGUUCCUCCGCGGGGCCCACACCGCCACGCAGGCCGCCUCCGACGGGAAGGGUGCAACUCAAGGAGUCGCUAAGAUGCCAGCUGCGGCUGAACCGGCCGCCCUUCCCACUAUCUGUGAUACUUAUUGUUAUAUCAUGGUGUAUAUAUUCAUGCCUUCAAGUGUACAAGUCUUCUAGGAUAGUGUUUAUGACCACCAGAGAAAGCUGCUUUUCCUAGGCUUUCUUGCAGAUACAGCAUGGAAGAAAAGAAGGACUGCACUAAAUCAGAAACAUUUGAGGUUGAGAUGCAGUUGCUGAUGGAAGGAACAAGAAGAGAACCCAGUAUGAAGGAGAAAUGACAAUGAAGUUGGUGGUCAGUGCAAUGGGAGAAACAACUGUUCAUCCGCGACUGAUUUGAGAUUUCCAAAACAAAUCACAAAUAUAAUUAAUACU
rnacentral:lncRNA from 1 species